rnacentral:tRNA from 1 species
GGGCCGGUAGUUCAGAGGUAGAAUACUCCCUUGGCAUGGGAGAGGUCGGGGGUUCGAGUCCCCUCUGGUCCA